ACGCACGGGCUCGCCUCCUCUCCCUCUCGCCCAUUAAGUCGCCGCCGCCGCCGCCGCCGCCCACACCGGCCGCUUCCGGCGACCUCCAGCGUCGCGCAGCAUGCCCCCGAGCUCCCCACGGUCCGCGCCUCCCUUCCCUCCGGCUAGAUUCUCCGCUCCCGGACUCUACCGCACGCUCGCAACCCCACCCCGUGGCUAGGGUUUCGGGCAGGGCUUCGCCGGCGCGUCUCCGGCGACCCCAGAUGCAGAUGGAGCACGCCGUGAGAUUUCCCCAUCCACCACGGUCGCCGCCGUCAAGGGCUUCUUCACGGAUCUGGGACGCCAUGGACAUGCAGCUCCUCAAGGACUUUCUAUUGAAACAUCUUCUCCAUCAUGUGUAGAACACGAUGCACCGUUAAGUCAAGGUUCAGGACGACGUAUAUCGUAGCCCCAUGCUGGCUUUUUUCCAAUGCAGGACCUUCUACAUCUCUGCAUAUCGAUCCAUUUUGGACCUCAGUAAGUAACUCAGUUUGCAUCACUUCCCUUAAUUGAACUAGAUAAAGAACCAUAGGUCAGUGCUAACUGGUACCUGAGAAAGCACAUAUUGUGGAAAGUUAAAAGGGUUAUGAUGAUGAACGUAGAGUAUCAGUCCACCAAGUCAAAGUUAAUUUGAUAUGUUCAAGUUAACCAUGGAUCAAUUCUGGAAUAUUUGUUAGCUGAAAUUGUAGGCAGUUCAUCUCUGGAGUUAUACGAUCUUUUCUUGGAGUAGUCUUCCCUUCAAGUAUUUCAUCUCUUAUCUAUUAAAAUAAAUGUUAAUAGAAAAGACAUCUUUGGUCUCAAGAAUUAGUAAUACUCCCAUUUGUAUUUCCUAAUCAUAUUUUUUCAUUUUUGAAUUACAUCAAACCUAUGUCUAGAUUGUAUACUACCCCGCCCAGCGUUAUUACUUUGGCUGUAUCUAACUUUAGUCAGUAAUUGAUAUACCUAUAAUUGUUGUUCUGCACCUAUGUCCACAGUCCACACUUCUCUAGAUGGUCACACUUUUGAUGUUGAACUGACUUCAGAUCUCUAAACAAAGGAUUUGCAGCAUAUAUAGAUGCAUUAAUGCCAAUCUUUAUCACUCUGUUACGUAUCUACUCCUACCUACUUGAAUCUUCUAUUCCCAGUUAAUUAGAAAUUUUGUUAUUUGUGGACAUCUCCUAAAUACAUCAAGUAAUUUUUGUGUUAAAGAGCAGUACGUUCUGUUUUCAUUUGUGACCCAAAGGUCAGCAACGUAAAGCUUGCAUGCAUCUGAAGGCAUGUUCCAUCCUUGAAUAUAUACUAAUAUAAAGGCAUGUUACAAUUGUGUGCAGGUAGAAAAUUCAUCAUUUUAGUGUCCAUCUGAAGAAUCACAUCGUGAUAGGAACAAGGACAAUGGCUGGCAUGUUGGUAGGAAUCUGAGAUGAUAAAAAAUAGUACUCAUCCAACUGCUAACUGAAUAUGCUGGAAAUUAGCUCAUAGUUACACAUAUAUUAUUACUGGGGCAGUACUGCCCUAGACUUGCAUAUUCAGAAUUAAUUGAUCUCACACAGUAGUGCCAUUUGUCGACACACCGUAUGAUAUAUGAAUAAAACCAUAAAAGUGUAUAUGAAACUGUAUAAUCUAGCACUUCGUUUCAUGCCUACAUCAAUGCAAUGUCCUUUUUAUGUUAUCAUGGCAUACAUAGAUAAUUAAAUGAGGAUUCUUUGAUAAUGUCUCCAUCUCUUGAGCUAAGCACAUGCUGUCAACAUCAUGGAACGACAUGGAGCUGCAGACAUGCACUUUGGAGCAGAGGUUGACUUGCAGCUGCAUCUGCAAUCUCCCAAACAAAUGAGCAGCACCAUGCAGUUGUGGGCUUGCAGCAGGUUGGCGGGCGAAUGGUCAUAGCAGGAAUACAACGGGCAUGUCGACUGCUGCGAGUAUUCCAUUCAAGUCGACAACUACAUUUGCAAGAGUUUUACACCACCGUAUGAUCGAUGAAUUCAAGGUCUGAGGCCCGUCCAGGGGCUAGAGCAGAUUCAUCGGACGGUGGAGUUGAGUGACCCACUCAUUGAUACCAGGUGUGCUCAAGUGAAGCCAGGGAUUUGAUCCAUCCAUCUCGGAGCGCAUGAAUCAACAGAGGAUCCAUCCAGUCAAACAAGUGAAUUUAGGCUUGAUUAAUUAGCAGGAGCAUACGAGUGUCUUUUGCACAUGUAGUUUAGGUUUGUACAGGUUCAGGUAGUCAACUGUUAAGCAUGGUAGGAUCCGCAAGCUGGGCAGUAGGCAGCGUCACGGUACGAUCCAGCAGGACGGCGGAGGAGGCGGCCCGUGGUGACUGGGGAGGAUACAAAGGGGGAUGGAGAGGUUGCGGGAAAUUUAUGGGUCUGGACUGGAGCAGAGGGAGAUAGAGAAUGGGUGAGAAAGAUGGAGAUGUUGAUAGGUAAUACCUGUUGGAAAGAGAUGUUGAUAGUUUACUUUUCUUCAUCUCCAACGCAACUAUCAACUGAUGCGCUGACUGUAUCAUCACAGUUCUCAUGUAUACUGCAUUUGAUCACGGUUCUCAUGUGAUCGGCUACCUGCAGAUCUACAUACUAGGGCGAUAAUAUGCAAUGUAGGAGUCUUGACCAUCCAAUGAUUUAUUUGUGUUUGGUUUUGCUGCAUUGGUCAAUAUGUGCAUAUCCUUGGAUGUAGUAUUGCUUUUCCUAAGUGUGUUUUGUAGAUCAGAUAAUGAUUCGCAAUGUACUAGGAGGUUUGGACAGCAAGUGAUUGUCACCAACACCAAGGAUCAGGUUCCUGCCAGAAGAACCCAAAGCAGAGCAAGAGAAGGAAAAUGAAGGUGAAGUUGCAGGUUCUGUUGGAGAGAGGGCUUCAUCACAUACUUGCUGCGAAGGCCAUGUUGUCGAGGAGCCGGUGACUGCCGCUCCAGCUGCCUCGCGCCAUGCCCCGUCGUGUGGGGUGCAUUGUGAGAGUUCUGCAUCAGGCUCGCGCCACCGCUCCGGCAGGUACUCAACGCGCAAUCAUGGGUUGUUGUGUUAACUUGAUACAGUUGCUGAUAACAGUGAUGCGGCACUCUAGCUAAUAGGCAGUAUUGGUGUCGACUGGAGCAACUAGAGUCGCUAGCUGUUAUGCUAAAAGAAUAGGGUGGAUUUGCUUCAUGCAAGAAGACAGUAAGGAUAAAGCAGCAAAAAGCAGGCCAUUAGUGGUGAUGGAUAAUUUCUCCAAUCAAUUUAACGUAGAUGCCUUCCAACAUUGCACACUAAGCGAUUGCAUUUUUUAGAUAUAUAGAAAGGUGGCUUCUGUUUUCAAGAAAGUUGGCAUGGCGUGAUUGUUAAUUUUUUAUGCCAACAAUUACAUACGCUUGGCUGACAAGUAUACAUUCUGAAAUGAUAUUGACAUUAGACCGAACCUUUAAACCUAGCAUAUUUAUUUUUCUCACCUAAUGAUUUUUAUUAUGUAUGAUAUGUAUUGCAUAGACUGCUGGCUUUGACAUUACAAUCUGGAACUAAAUAAAUAAAAAUAGAGAAAUUCAUAUAGUGGCAGUAAAGUGCUAACAAGUUAUAAUCUGUUUUUAGUUGCAUUACAGUAAGAGGAAACCUUUAUUUUACUUGUGAGCAUUGUAAUUGUUUGCGAAGGGCUAAUGUUAAUAAGAUAUGCAUACAAAUCUUAGCCUGGAGGCCAUGCUUUGUUCAAAGUAGCUGGGUAUAUGUACAAUAAAUAAAUAUUCAUGUGUUAUCUUGGUACUGUACAAUAUUGUUGAGA